GCUGUUAAGGGUUCGUAGUUGAAUUGGGGGUUGUGGAGUAAACGAUCGGAGGUUCGCUCUUCGGGGUUCCCAACCAUCGCACUUGCAACUCGAGAACAUCAGAAACAAACAGCACGGGGUGUAUUUUCGACCUUCCUGAAAUUACGCAUGCAACGCAUGUUUUGUAAGGGGGCGCCUGUGUACUUACUGUGACAAAUGAAGGGUGACUAAAACAGUCAUUCGAGAUGAAUUAGAAAGCUGGAAUAACAAAGCAGCAGCCUGUGGGCUCCAUUUUGGCUUUUGUUGGUUUUAGAGGUCCGUGGGGAUUGUGGGCCCGCAGGCCCGGCUGCACGGGAUUCGCUCCCGACAGUCCUCUGUGUUGGCGCAGCCUUCGCAGACUUGCUGGGUCUAGGAAUGAAGGAGGGUUGUUCGGGGGGAACGUACUUGAGCGUGAGAGGUGAAAUUCUUAGACCGCUCAAAGACGAACUACAGCGAGGCAUUCUUCAAGGAUACCUUCCUCAAUCAAGAACCAAAGUGUGGGGAUCGAAGAUGUUAGAUACCAUUGUAGUCC
rnacentral:rRNA from 1 species